AGUGAACGCUGGCGGUAGGCCUAACACAUGCAAGUCGAACGGUAGCACAGGAGAGCUUGCUCUCUGGGUGGCGAGUGGCGGACGGGUGAGGAAUACAUCGGAAUCUACUUUUUCGUGGGGGAUAACGUAGGGAAACUUACGCUAAUACCGCAUACGACCUACGGGUGAAAGCAGGGGACCUUCGGGCCUUGCGCGAUUGAAUGAGCCGAUGUCGGAUUAGCUAGUUGGCGGGGUAAAGGCCCACCAAGGCGACGAUCCGUAGCUGGUCUGAGAGGAUGAGCAGCCACACUGGAACUGAGAAACGGUCCAGACUCCUACGGGAGGCAGCAGUGGGGAAUAUUGGACAAUGGGCGAAAGCCUGAUCCAGCCAUACCGCGUGGGUGAAGAAGGCCUUCGGGUUGUAAAGCCCUUUUGUUGGGAAAGAAAUCCAGCUGGCUAAUACCCGGUUGGGAUGACGGUACCCAAAGAAUAAGCACCGGCUAACUUCGUGCCAGCCGCCGCCGUAA
rnacentral:rRNA from 1 species